UACGUAGGGGGCAAGCGUUGUCCGGAUUUAUUGGGCGUAAAGAGCGUGUAGGCGGCCAGACAGGUCCGUUGUGAAAACUGGAGGCUCAACCUCCAGACGUCGAUGGAAACCGUCUGGCUAGAGUUCGGAAGAGGAGAGUGGAAUUCCUGGUGUAGCGGUGAAAUGCGCAGAUAUCAGGAAGAACACCCGUGGCGAAAGCGGCUCUCUGGGACGGUACUGACGCUGAGACGCGAAAGCGUGGGGAGCGAACAGG
rnacentral:rRNA from 1 species